rnacentral:rRNA from 1 species
AUUGAACGCUGGCGGCAGGCCUAACACAUGCAAGUCGAACGGUAACAGGAAGCAGCUUGCUGCUUUGCUGACGAGUGGCGGACGGGUGAGUAAUGUCUGGGAAACUGCCUGAUGGAGGGGGAUAACUACUGGAAACGGUAGCUAAUACCGCAUAACGUCGCAAGACCAAAGAGGGGGACCUUCGGGCCUCUUGCCAUCGGAUGUGCCCAGAUGGGAUUAGCUAGUAGGUGGGGUAACGGCUCACCUAGGCGACGAUCCCUAGCUGGUCUGAGAGGAUGACCAGCCACACUGGAACUGAGACACGGUCCAGACUCCUACGGGAGGCAGCAGUGGGGAAUAUUGCACAAUGGGCGCAAGCCUGAUGCAGCCAUGCCGCGUGUAUGAAGAAGGCCUUCGGGUUGUAAAGUACUUUCAGCGGGGAGGAAGGGAGUAAAGUUAAUACCUUUGCUCAUUGACGUUACCCGCAGAAGAAGCACUGGCUAACUCCGUG